GAUCAUGGCUCAGGAUGAACGCUAGCGGCAGGCCUAAUACAUGCAAGUCGGACGGGGUCCAUCGGAGAGCUUGCUCGAAGAUGGUGAGAGUGGCGCACGGGUGCGUAACGCGUGAGCAACCUACCUCUAUCAGGGGGAUAGCCUCUCGAAAGAGAGAUUAACACCGCAUAACAUCAACAGUUCGCAUGUUCGGUUGAUUAAAUAUUUAUAGGAUAGAGAUGGG
rnacentral:rRNA from 1 species